UCCUACGGGGCGCAGCAGCAAGGAAUUUUCGUCAAUGGGCGCAAGCCUGAACGAGCAACGCCGCGUGGAGGAUGACGGCCUUCGGGUUGUAAACUCCUUUUUCGGGGGACGAUGAUGACGGUACCCCGGGAAUAAGGCUCGGCUAACUCUGUGCCAGCAGCCGCGGUAAGACAGAGGAGCCAAGCGUUGUCCGGAUUGACUGGGCGUAAAGCGCACGCAGGCGGUCUGGCGCGUGGGGUGUGAAAUCUGGCCGCUUAACGGCCAGGCGCCAUCCCAUACGGCCGGACUGGAGCCUUGCAGAGGGCGGUGGAAUUGCCGGUGUAGUGGUGAAAUGCGUAGAGAUCGGCAGGAACACCCAGGGGGAAACCAGCCGCCUGGGCAAGCGCUGACGCUGAGGUGCGAGAGCGUGGGGAGCGAACCGGAUUAGAUACCCCGGUAGUCCA
rnacentral:rRNA from 1 species